GGCGUGCCUAAUACAUGCAAGUCGAACGCACAGCGAAAGGUGCUUGCACCUUUCAAGUGAGUGGCGAACGGGUGAGUAACACGUGGAUAACCUACCUCAAGGUUGGGGAAUAACAUUUGGAAACAGAUGCUAAUACCGAAUAAAACUUCGUAUCGCAUGAUACAAGGUUAAAAGGCGCUACGGCGUCACCUAGAGAUGGAUCCGCGGUGCAUUAGUUAGUUGGUGGGGUAAAGGCCUACCAAGACAAUGAUGCAUAGCCGAGUUGAGAGACUGAUCGGCCACAUUGGGACUGAGACACGGCCCAAACUCCUACGGGAGGCUGCAGUAGGGAAUCUUCCAUAAUGGGCGAAAGCCUGAUGGAGCAACGCCGCGUGUGUGAUGAAGGCUUUCGGGUCGUAAAGCACUGUUGUAUGGGAAGAACAGCUAGAGUAGGGAAUGACUUUAGUUUGACGGUACCAUACCAGAAAGGGACGGCUAAAUACGUG
rnacentral:rRNA from 1 species